GGUGUGUGUUCCCCCACUCUGUUAGGUAGCUGAAUAGAGCAGCCUGUUCCCCACCUGCAGUACUUUCAGCACGUGAGCAGUGUGGUUUUUCGGUAAGGGUACCAACAAGAAAUCCAACAGCUGCUGAAAUUCCACAGGGAAGAGGUUGAGUGGCUGCUCCAGAAGGAUGGUGCCGUUACAAAUGCUUGAUAGUCCCCCCCGUUUGCUGAGCAGUGUGACUGGAGUGGCUGCGCAAUCUAGCUGAGCACAUGGGCAGCUGCUAACACCACGCUUUUGCCCUUGAGCUGCCGGUGUGCACAGUAUGUGGCCUUGCAGGUGUGUGUACAAAGUCCAUCUUGCUCUCUAUGGAUCUUGUGCAUUGCUUGGAUUCUUCUGGCCUCACAGAGCAAUGCUCAGACCCAUCCACCUCUCCAUUGCGAGCAACUGAACAACUGCAAACAUAGUGUGAAGUGGAGUUUCAGGUAAGUCAUUCUGUGCCUGAAAGCAGGCUGAACUGCAGCUCUGCCAGAGGUAGUAUAAAAUUACUGCAGUAACAACGGCCAGAGGCUCAAAGAAAAUACACAGCAAAUGUCCUUCCUUAUCGAGGUAGAUACCAAAUCCGCUGGUGUUUGAAAAGGUUCAAAAGCCAAUUGGCCAUAAGUCUGGCCAUGCAACAGUGGAACUCUCUGUUUCAGGCCGAAAGAUCCCAAGUGUGGCCAUUAAAGGAGCAGAAUAGUAGGAGGUGUGCCAUGGGGUGUAUCUGAACUGCAGAAAAAGCCCUGGGGCAGCAAGUCUCAUGGGGCUUGCACUAUGAGGCUAAAAGUAGCAGUGUAGGUGUUCCCACUCAGGCUGGAGCGUGGGGGGCCGGGUCUCAGAGCCUGGGCUCCAGCCCAAGCAGGAACGUCUGCACUGCAUGGGAACCCACAGUUUCCUCUGUCCCAGGAGAAGCCUUUAUCUAUUAUGUGCUUCCCCUGUGAGUUACCUCUGACAUACAGUUUCUGGUGAAAUACCUGCCAAUGUAUAUCCCUGUACUUGAUGGGAACUCUAUUAUUUCGAAGGAACCACAGUGCCCCUCUAAGACAAUCUUGUGGACAAUUCAAAACUACUGAAUGAUGUUACGAAAAAUAUUCCUUCAGGACCCUCUGGUAUAAUGCGCUCCUAAUGUGUGAGCCACGUGCCAGAAUGCUGUUGCCUGGAUUUGCCAAUGGGAGAUAAGUUUAACAUCAUAAACAAGCUGUUUGUAAGAAGGAGUCUGCUGGGCUGUUGCAGGAAAAAUACCUGUAGGGGCCUCUUCCCCUUGGCCAAGGGCGAUUUAAGUAUUUUAUACAAAGUGGGACAGCUUCAACAAGAGAAUCCCAAGUGGCGGAAGGCAUCUCUGGUCAGCCUUGACUUGAGCUAACUCCCUUUGAGGGGCUAGCUUAGGCAGCUCCCCCCUCAGCAUACUGGCUUCUGUGAAUCCCCUUUUUAGCUCUGAACUCUCCGCAGGCCUGGGUGCCUCACUUGGGGCUGUGAAUUCUACUGGGUGGCAGGGUGCCUAAUGGUUAGGCACUGCAAAUGCUCAGCCCUAAGUGCCCCUUGGGAAUCAAGCCUCACAUGUCUACGAGCUCAGUUGUGUGGGAACCUGAGCGUGUGAUCGCCCUGGUGUGUGAGCUCCUUGGUGUCUGGGGUUCGGGACGUGCAGACUCAAAGGAACAGACUGCAUUGACAUGCCCAUUUGAGUCAGUCCCCUUCCCUGCGUUAAAAUAAAAUAAAAAGGUUGUAUCCUAUUUUACAUGUAUUAAAAUCUCUCGUGUAAAGCACCCAGAGCACUUUGCUCUAAAAGCAAUAUGAUUAGUUUAUUACCAUUGAGCUGGACUGACCCCUCUGACUGACCCAGGAGCUGUGUUGAUUGGGUUGCCACACUGGGGUUUUUUCGCAGGAAAGGGAAAUAGAGAGAAAAUAGAGGUGGUUGCAGGAGGACCCUGUCCUUCUGGAAGAAAAAAGAGCCCCUUUUACAGAGUAGCAGUCACUUUGUGCUUACAUCCCCAUUCUAGGAGAACAGCAGCAGCACCAAGAUGGGAAGUGCAUUGGUUCCAAAAUGAAAUUCAGGGGGGGAAGCAGCUGUUCAUUACAGGUGUAAGCAAGUGAUCCCUGAGCUAUGGUAGGGCAUCCCCAGGCUGCAACACCUAGGUGUUUGGGAACUAAUAGCCACAGUGAGAGUAACCUGUGAGUAACUGUGUUUGGGUAUGUCUAUCCAGCAAAAAAAAAAAAAA